GACGAACGCUGGCGGCGUGCUUAACACAUGCAAGUCGAACGGAAAGGCCUGCUUUUGUGGGGUGCUCGAGUGGCGAACGGGUGAGUAACACGUGAGUAACCUGCCCUUGACUUUGGGAUAACUUCAGGAAACUGGGGCUAAUACCGGAUAGGAGCUCCUGCUGCAUGGUGGGGGUUGGAAAGUUUCGGCGGUUGGGGAUGGACUCGCGGCUUAUCAGCUUGUUGGUGGGGUAGUGGCUUACCAAGGCUUUGACGGGUAGCCGGCCUGAGAGGGUGACCGGCCACAUUGGGACUGAGAUACGGCCCAGACUCCUACGGGAGGCAGCAGUGGGGAAUAUUGCACAAUGGGCGGAAGCCUGAUGCAGCAACGCCGCGUGCGGGAUGACGGCCUUCGGGUUGUAAACCGCUUUCGCCUGUGACGAAGCGUGAGUGACGGUAAUGGGUAAAGAAGCACCGGCUAACUACGUG
rnacentral:rRNA from 1 species